rnacentral:lncRNA from 1 species
CACCAUGUUAUGAUUUACUCAUUGAACUUCGUCGGUGUUCAUCACUUGUCAGCUGAGACCUUCCUGGUCAAUCCCUAAACACUCUCAUAUUAAAGAAAAAGAUUAAUUACUAGUCUCUAGAGGCAUUAGAAAACAUGCUCGCGUGGUAGAUGAAAUGAUGACGUGUCCGAUUGACUCCGGCCAAAUCAACUCCACGUCAUCACAAACACCCUUUAACCUCUCAUUUUAUGAAAUGCGACCUCCACAAUUAAAACCUAAAACCAUCUACCGUGAUUUCUAGAAUAGUCAAAGCUCAAUCCCAAAGUCCAAAAAUCAAUUUGACACUCGAAACCUAAUCCCCAAACUAUGAAAAUCUGAUCAUCGAUCUCCAUCCAGCCGUUUGUAACCAGUAGAAGAGCCCAACCAAAAGAAGCAUCUAUUUGAUUUGAGAAGUUCGACUUCGAGCACGAUAGUUGAGCAUGCACAUUAACAGAUCUAUUGAAGGUAAAUUCGAUCUUGCAAAGAAGCUGUAUGAUUGAAUUUGACUAUCUUCAAUGGGUUUUCUCUCCCUCCAUCUCUAAUUUUAACUUCUUUUAUUGUUCUUGCCAUGGUAUGAUAUGUGAUAACAUUUGAUGAUCUUGAAUUGUGAGCAGUGGCGAAUCCAGGACUUCGACUCAGUUAGAGCGGACGUUGACCGUUGACCGUCAACGAUCGACGGAUGUAUAACGAUGUCGUUUAUUAAUAUCCUCCACCCAAAUAAGAUUUU